UAGCUAGUUGGUGAGGUAAAGGCUUACCAAGGCGACGAUCUGUAGCGGGUCUGAGAGGAUGAUCCGCCACACUGGAACUGAGACACGGUCCAGACUCCUACGGGAGGCAGCAGUGGGGAAUUUUGGACAAUGGGGGCAACCCUGAUCCAGCCAUGCCGCGUGAGUGAAGAAGGCCUUCGGGUUGUAAAGCUCUUUCGGCCGGGAAGAAAUCGCAUGGGCCAAUACCCUGUGUGGAUGACGGUACCGGAAUAAGAAGCACCGGCUAACUACGUGCCAGCAGCCGCGGUAAUACGUAGGGUGCGAGCGUUAAUCGGAAUUACUGGGCGUAAAGCGUGCGCAGGCGGUUUUGUAAGACAGGCGUGAAAUCCCCGGGCUUAACCUGGGAACUGCGUUUGUGACUGCAAGGCUAGAGUACGGCAGAGGGGGGUGGAAUUCCACGUGUAGCAGUGAAAUGCGUAGAGAUGUGGAGGAACACCAAUGGCGAAGGCAGCCCCCUGGGUCGAUACUGACGCUCAUGCACGAAAGCGUGGGUAGCAAACAGGAUUAGAUACCCUGGUAGUCCACGCCCUAAACUAUGUCAACUAGGUGUUGGGUGGGUAAAACCAUUUAGUACCGUAGCUAACGCGUGAAGUUGACCGCCUGGGGAGUACGGCCGCAAGGUUAAAACUCAAAGGAAUUGACGGGGACCCGCACAAGCGGUGGAUGAUGUGGAUUAAUUCGAUGCAACGCGAAAAACCUUACCUACCCUUGACAUGCCAGGAACUUGCCAGAGAUGGCUUGGUGCCCGAAAGGGAGCCUGGACACAGGUGCUGCAUGGCUGUCGUCAGCUCGUGUCGUGAGAUGUUGGGUUAAGUCCCGCAACGAGCGCAACCCUUGUCGUUAAUUGCCAUCAUUUAGUUGGGCACUUUAACGAGACUGCCGGUGACAAACCGGAGGAAGGUGGGGAUGACGUCAAGUCCUCAUGGCCCUUAUGGGUAGGGCUUCACACGUCAUACAAUGGUCGGUACAAAGGGUUGCCAAGCCGCGAGGCGGAGCCAAUCCCAGAAAGCCGAUCGUAGUCCGGAUUGCAGGCUGUAACUCGCCUGCAUGAAGUCGGAAUCGCUAGUAAUCGUGGAUCAGCAUGUCACGGUGAAUACGUUCCCGGGUCUUGUACACACCGCCCGUCACACCAUGGGAGCGGGUUCCGCCAGAAGUAGGUAGCCUAACCGCAAGGGGGGCGCUUACCACGGCGGGGUUCGUGACUGGGGUGAAGUCGAAACAAGGUAGCCGUAGGGGAACCUGCGGCUG
rnacentral:rRNA from 1 species